AAUGGGGGCAACCCUGAUCCAGCAAUGCCGCGUGUGUGAAGAAGGCCUGCGGGUUGUAAAGCACUUUCAGUCGCGAGGAAGGGUUCAUGUCGAAUAGGCAUGAGCAUUGACGUUAACGACAGAAGAAGCACCGGCUAACUCCGUGCCAGCAGCCGCGGUAAUACGGAGGGUGCGAGCGUUAAUCGGAAUUACUGGGCGUAAAGCGCACGUAGGUGGUUAUAUAAGUCGUCUGUGAAAUCCCUGGGCUUAACCUAGGCAGGUCAGACGAAACUAUAUGACUAGAGUCUUGUAGAGGGUAGUGGAAUUUCUGGUGUAGCGGAGAAAUGCGUAGAUAUCAGAAGGAACACCGGUGGCGAAGGCGGCUACCUGGACAAAGACUGACACUGAGGAGCGAAAGCGUGGGUAGCAAACAGGAUU
rnacentral:rRNA from 1 species